rnacentral:rRNA from 1 species
UACGUAGGGGGCAAGCGUUGUCCGGAUUUAUUGGGCGUAAAGAGCGUGUAGGCGGCCUGGCAAGUCCGCUGUGAAAACUCGAGGCUUAACCUCGAGACGUCGGUGGAAACUGCCUGGCUAGAGUCCGGAAGAGGAGAGUGGAAUUCUUGGUGUAGCGGUGAAAUGCGUAGAUAUCAAGAGGAACACCUGAGGUGAAGACGGGUGCUGGGCUGACACUGACGCUGAGGCGCGAAAGCCAGGGAGCGAACGGG